CUAUACUACACAGGAACAUCAGCAUAGGAGCCAGCAAACAGCUGAAGACAGGAGAGCUUGAGUUGGAGUGGUUUCUUACUUACAACAAGUUAUCAACCGUUCCUGACCUUCAGGACAAGAGGACUCAACUUUUAAAAGCUACACAUGCCCUAUGUCGGGACGCUAAUCACAAGUUCAUCAAGAGGUGAAAAGAGUAGAAGGAGGAUUAAG